rnacentral:rRNA from 1 species
UACGAAGGGGCGAGCGUUGUUCGGAUUUACUGGGCGUAAAGGGCGCGUAGGCGGCGCAUUUAGUCAGGCGUGAAAGUCCUGGGCUCAACCUGGGAACUGCGCUUGAUACGGGUGUGCUAGAGGAUGGAAGAGGCUCGCGGAAUUCCCAGUGUAGAGGUGAAAUUCGUAGAUAGUUGGGAAGAACACCGGUGGCGAAGGCGGGCGAAGCUGGU